rnacentral:misc_RNA from 1 species
AUGACCAAAACUGCGACAAGAAUUGCCUCGUUUACAACCCUCCAACCUCACGCACCAACCCAAAAAGUAAAAGCAAAAAAAAAAGACCACAAAUGCCUACACUUUCUUUCUCUUCCUCAUUGACUUGAUUCCAACUAUAAAUAAUAUACACAUUCUACAAAAAAGAUUCAUCUCAAUCUCAAUGACCGACUUUCACACUCAAUCCAACUGAUGACAGGUUGCUGCAGAACAUCGUGCAAAAACAAAUGAUGGAAACCAUCUUAUGGGAAAGAAUGGGUAAUAAAUAUACUUCCACACAGACUGAAUGGAGACAGAAUUUUGAGAAGGGCUUGCCAACGCCAGGCACUAUGAUGACAGAAUGGAUUGCAAUGCCAU